rnacentral:rRNA from 1 species
AUUGAACGCUGGCGGCAUGCCUUACACAUGCAAGUCGAACGGUAACAGGUCUUCGGAUGCUGACGAGUGGCGGACGGGCGAGUAAUACAUCGGAACGUGCCCGAGAGUGGGGGAUAACGAGGCGAAAGCUUUGCCAAUACCGCAUACGAUCUCAGGAUGAAAGCAGGGGACCGCAAGGCAUUUCGCUAACGGAGCGGCCGAUGGGAGAGUAGGUUGUUGGUGGGAUAAAAGCUUACCAAGCCGACGAUCUGGAGCUGGUCUGGUCGGCCGACCAGCCACAAUGGGACGGAGACACGGCCCAGACUCCUACGGGAGGCAGCAGUGGGGAAUUUUGGACAAUGGGCGCAAGCCUGAUCCAGCCAUGCCGCGUGCAGGAUGGAGGCCUUCGGGUUGUAAACUGCUUUUGUACGGAACGAAAAGACUCUGGUUAAUACCUGGGGUCCAUGACGGUACCGUAAGAAUAAGCACCGGCUAACUACGUGCCAGCAGCCGCCGUAACAC